UCGAAGCAGCGAUUGCAGCGGCAUCCUUUCGGAUAAAGAUACAGCGGAAAGCGCGGUGCACG
rnacentral:sRNA from 1 species